rnacentral:lncRNA from 1 species
CUGUAGAUGAAACUUGUUCCUGUUGAAAUGCCUUUGACAGCAUGUGCUGGAAUUACAGGAAGGACAAACCUGUUGUUCAAAGCUCAGCCCAAGGAUUUAUAGAGCCCUGCAAGAGCCCUGGGUUACAGCUGACCUCAUGGCCCUAGGAUCAGGCAAAUGCAUGACUGGUGGCCAUCUGCUUCAGCCUACAGCACCGUAGCGGAGAAGAAGGCUUGGGAGACUUGACAGAAGAAGUACUUGUCUCAGUCUGCCUUCUCCAGGAUCUUCAGCCUUGCUGCAAACUUGUAAUUCCUGCUGGAGGAUCACCUCCGAAGGGUGGACCUGGUGGGCAGGAGAUAGACACGCUGGCUGAAACCAUUUUCAUGAC